rnacentral:lncRNA from 1 species
UCUUAUUAGAAGACAGACACAAGGCACAUUGAUCACAAGGUGGCACACAGGGAACUUGUCACCUCCUAGGGAGAUCCAGGACAAUAGAAGCCAAAGUGGGGAACACAGCACAGCCAGAUCUAAGCCAUUGGCCCAGAGCUGUGAACAGGAGAGCUCCACCCCUGCAAACCGGUCACUUGCCCUUCCCUGAAAGAUCACUGGAUCCACAGUGACACUUCCUCCUUUUGUCACCUGACUGAAGUUGCAAGACACAAACUUUUGCCACAGCAGGUUAAAAGCCGAUGCAGAUCCAAUCACAGAAAUCUUUGCAAGUACAACUGCAAACGGUGG